rnacentral:rRNA from 1 species
CCUACGGGAGGCAGCAGUGAGGAAUAUUGGUCAAUGGGCGCGAGCCUGAACCAGCCAAGUAGCGUGAAGGAUGACUGCCCUACGGGUUGUAAACUUCUUUUAUAAAGGAAUAAGGUGAGGCACGUGUGACUUUUUGUAUGUACUUUAUGAAUAAGGAUCGGCUAACUCCGUGCCAGCAGCCGCGGUAAUACGGGGGAUCCGAGCGUUAGCCGGAUUUAUUGGUGUUAAAGGGAGCGUAGAUGGGUUGUUAAGUCAGUAGUGAAAGUUUGCGGCUCAACCGUGAAAUUGCAAUUGAUACUGGCAGCCUUGAGUGCAGUUGAGGUAUGCGGAAUUCGUGGUGUAGCGGUGAAAUGCUUAGAUAUCACGAAGAACUCCGAUUGCGAAGGCAGCCUACUAAACUGCCACUGACAUUGAUGCUCGAAAGUGUGGGUAUCAAACAGGAUUAGAUACCCCGGUAGUC